rnacentral:rRNA from 1 species
UUUAUGGAGAGUUUGAUCCUGGCUCAGGAUGAACGCUGGCGGCGUGCCUAAUACAUGCAAGUCGAGCGAACAGAUAAGGAGCUUGCUCCUUUGACGUUAGCGGCGGACGGGUGAGUAACACGUGGAUAACCUACCUAUAAGACUGGGAUAACUUCGGGAAACCGGAGCUAAUACCGGAUAACAUAUUGAACCGCAUGGUUCAAUAGUGAAAGGCGGCUUUGCUGUAACUUAUAGAUGGAUCCGCGCCGUAUUAGCUAGUUGGUAAGGUAACGGCUUACCAAGGCAACGAUACGUAGCCGACCUGAGAGGGUGAUCGGCCACACUGGAACUGAGACACGGUCCAGACUCCUACGGGAGGCAGCAGUAGGGAAUCUUCCGCAAUGGGCGAAAGCCUGACGGAGCAACGCCGCGUGAGUGAUGAAGGUCUUCGGAUCGUAAAACUCUGUUAUCAGGGAAGAACAAAUGUGUAAGUAACUGUGCACAUCUUGACGGUACCUGAUCAGAAAGCCACGGCUAACUACGUGCCAGCA